UACGUAGGGUCCGAGCGUUGUCCGGAAUUAUUGGGCGUAAAGGGCUCGUAGGCGGUUCGUCGCGUCGGGAGUGAAAACUCGGAGCUCAACUCCGAGCCUGCUUCCGAUACGGGCAGACUAGAGGUAGGCAGGGGAGAGCGGAACUCCUUGUGUAGCGGUGGAAUGCGCAGAUAUCAGGAAGAACACCCGUGGCGAAGGCGGUUCUCUGGGACGGUACUGACGCUGAGACGCGAAAGCGUGGGGAGCGAACAGG
rnacentral:rRNA from 1 species